rnacentral:rRNA from 1 species
GUCUUCGGCCACGCCACCCUAAACGUGCUUGAUCCCAUCUGAACUUGAAAGCUAAGCAGGGUCGGUCCUGGUUAGUACUUAGAUGGGAGACCACCUAGGAAGACCAGGUACUGUAGGCG